rnacentral:rRNA from 1 species
AACCCGACUACAUGAAGCCGGAAUCGCUAGUAAUCGCGGAUCAGAAUGCCGCGGUGAAUACGUUCCCGGGUCUUGUACACACCGCCCGUCACACCAUGGGAGUCGGAAAUGCCCGAAGUCUGUGACCCAACCGUAAGGAGGGAGCAGCCGAAGGCAGGUCGGAUGACUGGGGUGAAGUCGUAACAAGGUAUC